rnacentral:lncRNA from 1 species
UUCUCAAUGUGCAUCUUAUGAAACAUGAUAGGGAUCCUCCUGAUGAUCUGUUGUUCUAUGUUAUGAUGAUGACUAAGAAAUAUUCAGGGACCAGGUAUGUUAUAUGCUUUGCUGAAAGAUAGUUGUACACUAUCACACUUCGAAUAUUUUUGUCCUAUAGCAUAAUUAUUGUGCAGGUGCACAGUGGACAGCAAUAGACCCCUGGUCCAAUCAAGAUUCCUACGCUCCUAUAUAUAGAAAAAGAUAGCAAUAUUGUAAAUGAGUUUUUCCAAUCUGAUAUUUCUCAUGAAGGCAGGAAAAACCCUUUGGGCUCAAAAUCUAAAAUUUCCAUUGCUUUUAGUUUUAUUAUUCUUGAAUCAUGCCCUAGAAGCUGAUUUACUCUAGUGUUGUGAGAAACGUUUUUCUUUGUCUUUGAGUUUUUCUUAGGGAUAAUAGUUCGAAAAAUACUUGUACUUUGCCUAAAUUUCCAGUUGCGCAUAUUAAACUUUGAGAGGGUCCUAUGGCCCUCUUGAAUAUUUUAAAAAUAAAAUUAUUUGCUCCCCAAAUAUUGAGGUGACAAAGUGAGUGCAUUUCACUCUCUUCUUCUUCUUCUUCUUCUUCUUCUUCUUCUUCUUCUUCUUCUUCUUCUUCUUCUUCUUCUUCUUCUCCUCCUCUCACAAAACUAAAAAGCUUCAAAAUUCAUCAAUGGUGUCUAAAAUUAAUCUCACAUCUUUCUCAUUGUCAAUGAGUCUCAUCAAUUUUAUUUUCUUUUUUCUUUCACCAUAACACAUUUGCCACGUAAGAUUUUGAUUAUUUUUUAUUUUAAUUUUCUUUUCUCUAUUCACCAAUGUUCAAAUUUUCAAGAACCCAUUUUUAUUCUUGGCUUUGCCUCAAAUUUUACCUUUCAAUUGCAAGCUCCAUUUAAAUUCUAGUAAUUUCUUAUUAAUCCCUCAAUCUAAUCAUCC